rnacentral:lncRNA from 1 species
GUCACCUGCAGCUGCCCCAGGAUAAAGGCAAGGCCAGAGAGGACUCCUGAACUCCUGUGUGCCUGGGGUGGCAGGGGCAAACAUAGCCAACUGGUGGCCUGAGCGGGGCCAUGGUGAGGACACCCUUGGUGGCUUGUCCCACAUCAAGCUGGGAGGUGACACUGAGGAUGCAUUAGUCUGCAGCGUAUGAUAAAAACGGC